CCUACGGGAGGCAGCAGUGAGGAAUAUUGGUCAAUGGACGAGAGGCUGAACCAGCCAAGUAGCGUGAAGGAUGACUGCCCUAUGGGUUGUAAACUUCUUUUAUAAAGGAAUAAAACGAGGCACGUGUGCCUUUUUGCAUGUACUUUAUGAAUAAGGAUCGUCUAACUCCGUGCCAGCAGCCGCGGUAAUACGGAGGAUCCGAGCGUUAUCCGGAUUUAUUGGGUUUAAAGGGAGCGUAGAUGGGUUGUUAAGUCAGUUGUGAAAGUCUGCGGCUCAACCGUAAAAUUGCAAUUGAUACUGGCAGUCUUGAGUACACUAGAGGUAGGCGGAAUUCGUGGUGUAGCGGUGAAAUGCUUAGAUAUCACGAAGAACCCCGAUUGCGAAGGCAGCUUACUAACCUGUGACUGACAUUGAUGCUCGAAAGUGUGGGUAUCAAACAGGAUUAGAUACCCGUGUAGUC
rnacentral:rRNA from 1 species